GGGGCAUGCAAACUUCACUAUGAAAAAAAAAUUUUAUAAGAGGAGACCUCAUCCUAAACUCUUGUACACCCAAUUCUCUCUCACUAGAAGUUCUCCUCACAAAAGCUUUCUCUUUCUUGGAAGACCCCCUGAACCCCUGAAGUGCCUGGCGACCGCUGUCCAGGAGCCUCCUGCUCCUUGUCUCUCAGCGCUUCCGCCUCUCUCUUCU
rnacentral:lncRNA from 1 species